AUUGAACGCUGGCGGCAGGCCUAACACAUGCAAGUCGAGCGGAGCGGCUGACGGGUGAGUAAUGCCUAGGAAUCUGCCUGGUAGUGGGGGAUAACGUCCGGAAACGGGCGCUAAUACCGCAUACUAUCAGAUGAGCCUAGUUCGGAUUGGCUAGUUGGUGGGGUAAAGGCCUACCAGGCCGACGAGCCGUAACUGGUCUGAGAGGAUGAUCAGUCACACUGGAACUGAGACACGGUCCAGACUCCGACGGGAGGCAGAAGGGGGGAAGAUUGGACAAUUGGCGAAAGCCUGAUCCAGCCAUGCCGCGGGUGUGAAGAAGGGCUUCGGAUUGUAAAGCACUUAAAGUUGGGAGGCGUUACCAACAGAAUAAGCACCGGCUAACUACGUGCCAGCAGCCGCGGUAAUUC
rnacentral:rRNA from 1 species